rnacentral:rRNA from 1 species
UACGUAGGGGGCAAGCGUUAUCCGGAUUUACUGGGUGUAAAGGGAGCGUAGACGGUUGGAUAAGUCAGAUGUGAAAGCUCGGGGCUCAACCCCGGGAUUGCAUUUGAAACUAUCGAACUAGAGUGCAGGAGAGGUAAGUGGAAUUCCUAGUGUAGCGGUGAAAUGCGUAGAUAUUAGGAGGAACACCAGUGGCGAAGGCGGCUUACUGGACUGUAACUGACGUUGAGGCUCGAAAGCGUGGGGAGCAAACAGG